rnacentral:rRNA from 1 species
GACGAACGCUGGCGGCGUGCCUAAUACAUGCAAGUUGAGCGCUGAAGGUUGGUACUUGUACCGACUGGAUGAGCAGCGAACGGGUGAGUAAUGCGUGGGGAAUCUGCCUUUGAGCGGGGGACAACAUUUGGAAACGAAUGCUAAUACCGCAUAAAAACUUUAAACACAAGUUUUAAGUUUGAAAGAUGCAAUUGCAUCACUCAAAGAUGAUCCCGCGUUGUAUUAGCUAGUUGGUGAGGUAAAGGCUCACCAAGGCGAUGAUACAUAGCCGACCUGAGAGGGUGAUCGGCCACAUUGGGACUGAGACACGGCCCAAACUCCUACGGGAGGCAGCAGUAGGGAAUCUUCGGCAAUGGACGAAAGUCUGACCGAGCAACGCCGCGUGAGUGAAGAAGGGUUUCGGAUCGUAAAACUCUGUUGGUAGAGAAGAACGUUGGUGAGAGUGGAAAGCUCAUCAAGUGACGGUAACUACCCAGAAAGGGACGGCUAACUACGUG